GGGAACUACGAGCAUAAGCUUAAAACCCAAAAGACUUGGCGGUGCUUUAAAACCCCCUAGAGGAGCCUGUUCUAGAACCGAUAACCCCCGUUCGACCUCACCUUUUCUUGUUUCUCCCGUCUAUAUACCGCCGCCGUCAGCCUACCCUGUGAAGGAACCGUAGUAAGCAAAACUGGUACCACCCAAAACGUCAGGUCAAGGUGUAGCCUACGAAAAGGAAAGAAAUGGGCUACAUUUCCUCUUUUAGGAAAUACGAACUGUGUUCUGAAAAAGCACAUGAAGGAGGAUUUAGUAGUAAGCAGAAAGCAGAGCGUUCCGCUGAACCCGGCCCUGAAGCGCGCACACACCGCCCGUCACUCUCCCCCCGGCCCAACACACCUAUACUUAAAUAAGCCCUCCAGGGCAAAGGGGAGGCAAGUCGUAACAUGGUAAGUGUACCGGAAGGUGCACUUGGAAAAAC
rnacentral:rRNA from 1 species